UACGUAGGUGGCAAGCGUUGUCCGGAUUUACUGGGCGUAAAGAGCGCGCAGGCGGUCGUUCAAGUCGAGUGUGAAAGCCCCCGGCUCAACUGGGGAGGGUCACUCGAUACUGAUCGACUCGAAGGCAGAAGAGGGAAGCGGAAUUCCCGGUGUAGUGGUGAAAUGCGUAGAUAUCAGGAGGAACACCUGCGGUGUAGACGGCUUACUGGACGGUAACUGACGCUGAGGCACGAAAGCGUGGGUAGCAAACAGG
rnacentral:rRNA from 1 species